UUUUCGGUAGCUAAAUAUCAAUUUUUAUUAUAACAAUAGCGAUGGGACCAUAUCCGGUUGAUAAAACCCAUUAUAUCCGAUUGUUAAUAUUAACCCAAUAAAAAACUAAGCGCCACCCUUUUGUGUUUUUCCCUCGUUUUUUCACCCACAACCGUUCCUGUUCUCUCAAAACCCUCACUAUGAGCGCAAACUCAAAACCUAGCCACUAUCCCCCUCCCCCUCUCGCUUCUCUGUCUCUCUGUGUAUGUGUGUGAGAGAAACUCAAUUUUCUCCGCCUCCAUCUGCCGCAUGGACUCUGUCCUAAUAAAUCAGCCAUUAAAAUUGUUAGGAUUGAGACAAUUGACUUGCUUGACUCGAUGGAAUGAGUGAACUUGCCGGGAUCGUUAUGGAAUGAGUGAACUUGCCGGGAUCGUGCUCAAGGAGGAGUAGCUGGUAAUUAUUGUUGCAUCACUAGCCCACAGUCGCCAUGUUAGUUCAAAACGAGUUUGUUAGGCGCUUGAAAAUGUGUGGAGAUUAUCAUAUUUAUUAUCGAUCUAUGAUUACUUCUCCAUUGAGGGUUGUGACUUAAACUUAUACUCUUUUUUAUAAUGGCAUAAAACUUAAUUGUAGCUUCAAAUAUGAUUCAGUUAAAUAGGCAUAGCUGCAUGUAGCCUUAUCAAUCAAAUAUGCACCAGGAAGUUGACGGAGUUCUUAUAUAUGAUAGAAUGCAUAUAAAGACAUCACUUUUGCCAUCUCUACCAGCAUGAGUUACCAAUAUGACGAGGACACCUCUGGAACCAAACCAGCCAGCAGUGGAUAGGACACAAGAAGCCUGUCAACCAACCAGAACUGCUUCGUGAAUGUAAACUAAAGUGAGAUGUUUAUAUCCUUUUCCAUAAUAGUCUGAUUUGUCUUAGUUCCCUGUGUUGCCUUAGAAGAAUGGCUUAAAAUGAAAUAGCAAUAGUAGGUCUUUUGCUUCUUACUGAAUAAAUGAGACAUUCUAUUGUUGUUGAUCUUCCAUUCCCUUUGAUAUAGAGGCAUAAAAGAUACCUUUUAGAAAAUAUAUCUGGAGGCAUAACAUACAGGUGAUCGGCAUGCUUGUAAAGGUUGGAAUCUGAAAAAUUCUUUGGAGAAGGUGUAAGUUUUGGGUGGCGGUGAUUUAAUGGUCUUAAAGUACUGAAAUUUCUGAUCUUCAACAUUUGGUGUUCUAAACUGCUGGCAUGACAGCAUCUAGAGCAAUUUUUGUUUAUAAUUUGCUCAACUUAAUCUCUUUGCUUACGGAAUAGAUCUUUUCAUAUAAGUUGUAGGAAAGAUUUAAAGAUUUAGCAAAUUAUUGAUUGAGAGAGUAAAUGAUGCUUCACAUUUCGCUGUGGCCCAUAACUAGCCAUUAACUUUAUCCUUUUUGAAGGCAUAAAACGACUCUGAAUCAAUGAAGUGUAGAGUAUGCUGCCAUAUGUUCUUUUUUUUUUAAUUUUUUUUUUUUAAUAUUAAUGUCACGAUCCAACCAGAGGGCCAUGACAGGUACCCAGUAUUGGCUACCGAGCACCCUUUAUCACACUAUCUAUCGUUUAACCUAUACAAUUAAAAUCCCCAACAUGCU